AUUAGAUAUAUAUAUAUAUGUACUGUAUCAUUUUACUUUUACUUACAUUUUUGACACUUUGUGAAUAUGGAACCUGGACUGUUUUAAUGUAUCAGGUGAAGUUAUUCACCAGCUAUAGAGAGUUGUUUGCUUCUAAGACUGCAGGGUGGGAGAUACAAUGGCCUUGAGAACAGCAGGAAGUGUGUUGGGGGUCUUUGUCUGGUCUGUAGCAGCUCUCUCUCCAGAGUGUCCAUCCUGACCCAAACUGUGACACACACACCACUGAAAAUGAGGACCAGACACUCUGGCAGUAGUGUGAAAAUCCCCCACAGUGACACGUUCACAUCUCUUCAGAGAGACGCUCAGCACUCCGUAUAUCAGACCAUCCAGGGAAGAGAACCACCACAGAACCUGGACUGAUAGAACCACCACAGAACCUGGAGGGAAGAGAACCACCACUGAACCUGGAGGGAAGAGAACCACCACAGAACCUGGAGAGAAGAGAACCACCACAGAACCUGGACUAAAGAGAACCACCACAGAACCUGUACUAAAGAGAACCACCACAGAACCUGCACUGAAGAGAACCACCACUGAACCUGGAGGGAAGAGAACCACCACAGAACCUGCACUAAAGAGAACCACCACAGAACCUGCACUGAAGAGAACCACCACAGAACCUGUACUGAAGAGAACCACCACAGAACCUGGACUAAAGAGAACCACCACAGAACCUGCACUGAAGAGAACCAUCACAGAACCUGCACUGAAGAGUACCAUCACAAAAAAUGGACUAAAGAGAACCACCACAGAACAUGGACUAAAUAGCUAUGGCCCCAAACCAAAGCUAGUCCUUACACUCUAUUCUCUUGCUAAUAUAUUGUUAUAAUAUAAUGAAGGUUCACCCAAGUUACAAAAUUACACAUUGGUUUCCCUUCCCUUUUAGCAGUCUAUGAACAUGGUGACAUCAGUCCCUGCUUUGGUUUAGUUUCCCCUGACACUGUUUCCACUUGCUAACGUUUUAGCAUUCGUGGCACAAAUCCCAUUCGUCAUGUGACUGUUAAGAGGCAUUUCUCGCACAUAAUUUCAAAAUCAAUCAAAAGUUUAAAAAAAUGCUUUGUGAAGCACAACAAAGUCACUUACAGAUGAUUUGAACAUUAUGUGAGAAUGUUAAUAUGUGAAAUCUUAAUAUCAGUCCCGUGACUUGAAUGGGAUUUUUGUAAAUGUGGGUGUUCGACAUUGCAGCCGAAUUUAUAGGCAAGUUGAGAUCUACAAAUCACCUUGCAUGAUGAAUAACUACUCAAUAUUAUUUAUAGAUUAUUCAGUCAGUCACAAUUUACCCAUGAUACAUCAGUUUUGAUGUUCUCGAACACUGUCUGAGUGACUGCUGAAGGAAGCCUUCUCUGCAUAAGCUUCUUGGUCCCUGACAUAGAGUUGGAUAGAAGGUACAUCUUGACAUCUUUGUCAUGAUGUCUUCUGGAGCAGAAUGAGCAGCACCAUUGAGGGCUAUUUCUGUAUUAAAGUAGUUAAUAUCUUCAACUUCCAUAAGUUUAAUAACAGUCGGUAUACCAACUGAAAUGGUGUAUUCAAUGGCUUUAGUCAUGCUAAAAUGGGCUUUGAAGCAAGUACACCUCUACUCAACUCUAUUGUCCCUGACUGCCUCAAAGUUGUCAACCACAGACUUCAAACCUCACACUCAGUGUCUAUUUACAUAGACUUCCAGUAAGUUAACUUGCAACACAUCUCCCCUUCACUCUGUAAGUAUGCUUGACGAUAUCUUAAAAUAUGUUUAUUUUAUCAUU